UCCCUGGUGGCUCAGACGGUAAAGCGUCUGCCUCCAAUGCGGGAGACCCAGGUUCAAUUCCUGGGUUGGGAA
rnacentral:tRNA from 1 species